CCAUACAGCACAGGUCAUCUUUAAGAUAUCUUAUUUACAACCAAAUAUGGUCUUAAUGUCUUAGGUCUCAAUUAAGACUUUUAAAAGAUAUCUUUAAAACGCCAAAUUUAAGAUAUCUUUAAAACGCCAAAUUUAAGAUAUCUUUUAAACAUCAUAUUUAAGACAUUUUUUCUUAAAAAUAGGUUAUGUUAUAAUUACGAAUUUAAAAGUUAGGUUAGGUUAGUAAAACAUUUAAGACAAGAGCUGGUAGCAAAAAGACAAACUCCAAACAAAAGCUUUUUCACAUCAGUGACUUCAGUAGUAUUUCCCAUAGGUAUGGUUUUAUUUGAGUGAUAUUUAGAAGACUACAGAUUUUAAUAAUGCAGUAGGUAUCGGAGCUUGUUAAAGUAGGAGGAUCAAAAGCCUAUGAUUUUGUAUAAAGAGUUGGAAAAUUAAUUAUUAGCAAUGAGCAAGCUUUAAGUACAGUUGGCUGGGACAAAAAGGCAAACAAAAGUUUUGUGAUACCAGAAUUGCAAAUCUGAUAAUUGGUAAAGCUUAUUCUACAUGUACAUGUAAAAUUUUAAUAGCAAUAAACGUAUUUUUAGAA